rnacentral:rRNA from 1 species
UAUACGACCGUACCGCAAACCGACACUGGUGCGCGAGAUGAGUAUUCUAAGGCGCUUGAGAGAACUCAGGAGAAGGAACUCGGCAAAUUGACACCGUAACUUCGGAAGAAGGUGUGCCCUAUUAGUGUGUAGUGAACAACGAAGCAUGAAUGGGUUGCAAAAAAUCGGUGGCUGCGACUGUUUAUUAAAAACACAGCACUCUGCAAACACGAAAGUGGACGUAUAGGGUGUGACGCCUGCCCGGUGCUGGAAGAUUAAAUGAUGGGUGCAAGCUCUUGAUUGAAGUCCCAGUAAACGGCGGCCGUAACAAUAACGGUCCUAAGGUAGCGAAAUUCCUUGUCGGGUAAGUUCCGACCUGCACGAAUGGCGUAACGAUGGCCACACUGUCUCCUCCUGAGACUCAGCGAAGUUGAAAUGUUUGUGAUGAUGCAAUCUCCCCGCGGAAAGACGGAAAGACCCCAUGAACCUUUACUGUAGCUUUGUAUUGGACUUUGAACAGAUCUGUGUAGGAUAGGUGGGAGGCUUUGAAGCAGGGUCGCUAGAUCUUGUGGAGCCAACGUUGAAAUACCACCCUGGUGUGUUUGAGGUUCUAACCUAGGUCCAUUAUCUGGAUCGGGGACAGUGCAUGGUAGGCAGUUUGACUGGGGCGGUCUCCUCCCAAAGCGUAACGGAGGAGUUCGAAGGUACGCUAGUUACGGUCGGACAUCGUGACGAUAGUGCAAUGGCAUAAGCGUGCUUAACUGCGAGACUGACAAGUCGAGCAGAUGCGAAAGCAGGACAUAGUGAUCCGGUGGUUCUGUAUGGAAGGGCCAUCGCUCAACGGAUAAAAGGUACUCUGGAUAACAGGCUGAUACCGCCCAAGAGUUCAUAUCGACGGCGGUGUUUGGCACCUCGAUGUCGGCUCAUCUCAUCCUGGGGCUGUAGCCGGUCCCAAGGGUAUGGCUGUUCGCCAUUUAAAGAGGUACGUGAGCUGGGUUUAAAACGUCGUGAGACAGUUUGGUCCCUAUCUUCCGUGGGCGCUGCAGAUUCGAGGAAGCCUGCUCCUAGUACGAGAGGACCGGAGUGGACACACCUCUGGUGUAUCGGUUGUCACGCCAGUGGCAUUGCCGAGUAGCUAAGUGUGGAAGAGAUAACCGCUGAAAGCAUCUAAGCGGGAAACUCGCUUCAAGAUGAGAUCUGCCGGGGCCUUGAGCCCCCUAAAGAGUCGUUCAAGACCAGGACGUUGAUAGGUCAGGUGUGGAAGCG